UACGACUCUCGGCAAUGGAUAUCUUGGCUCUUGCAUCGAUGAAGAGCGCAGCGAAAUGCGAUACGUGGUGUGAAUUGCAGAAUCCCGUGAACCAUCGAGUUUUUGAACGCAAGUUGCGCCCGAGGCCAAUUGGCUAAGGGCACGUCCGCCUGGGCGUCAAGC
rnacentral:rRNA from 1 species